UAUAGAGAAUAUAAAACAUAACAUAACAUGAAAAUCAAUUCCGAAGAAAAUUCGGUCAAUGAGGCAAAAUGUUGUAUAGAGAAGUCUGACUAUAUAGAUUGCUGGAUUGAUUCUUUGGCAACUGAACUACUAGGUCUGAAAUAAAGUCUUGCCAGAAAAUAUGUGUUUCUGUGUCUUGAUGUUGUGAUUAAACCAACACCAUUGACACAAUAGAGUCAAAUUGUACAGUUUGUACUAAAAAUUGGAAGGUUCCUCCUGGUUUCUUUGUCAUGUCCACCAUUCUCCUCAAUUUUCACAUGGAAUUUGAACCCCUUUUCCUUAGGCAGUUUCCGUGUAUCGGCCUUCAGCAGCGUGGAAAAGUCUCUGUCACUCAGUUUCAGAGAAUGCGCCAGGGUAAAAAUUCUGGCACAAUGAUUGACAAGCUGCCUCUAUUCUUGAAAGAUCCUACAGUAGCACAAAAUACUAGUCAACUUAAUACAGAAGUAUAAUGUGAACUUCAAAACCAUGCGGUGUCUCUAUGAAAGUUCUUACCUUCCCUUCGAAUCUAAUCAUAAGAGGGCCUUUUCUUGAUCCUCGAUAACCUCCUUCAUGUCAAACGAAAGACAAAUAAUUUAAUAUGUAGGAAAGAGCGGGAGUGAGCGGUGAGUCAUAUAAACACAUCAACCUUGUAAAUGAUAAUUACGACUUACCGACGUACAGAUCAGGAAACUGAAGGCAAAGCUUUGACAAAGGUCGAGCAACUUCAACCUGCAUUUCAAUAGGAGCUAGUAAUUCAGAAAUUUGCAGAGUGCUAUAACGGAACACAUUAACAAGAGGCUAUUUACAAGGAUACAUUAUAAAGACUAGUUUUUCGGAAACCACCUCUUUAUCUCCACAAGGUAGGGGUAAGGUCUGUAUACGCUCUACCCUUCCCAGAACCCCACCUGUGAGAAUACACCUGGUAUGUUGUUGUUGUUGUACAUUAUAAGGACUCAUCUAAAGGGAGGAAAAGCAACACGGUAGACUCAAUGACGUGGCACUCCACAAUUCUAGCAGGUAAUAUAUACGUUUUCCAAAUCCAGGAAGAAAAAUGCUACACAGUAUGCUGUUGACUCUGGGGUAAGGUCUUAAGGAUCAGAAACUCGCUCUGAUUUUGAUGACUAUUCGGGUGAUAGAGAUCAGAAAUUUGCUCUGAUCUGAUUCCUUUUGGCUGCAAAAAGUCUACCCAGCGCUCAUUCACAUAAUUUGGGCCCUAGGUCGUAGUUAAUGGUCAUGAUUUGGUAAAACGAGAAGAAUUCCUAUAAGAUAAUUCACGGGCAACUAGAUCAAGCUGUAGCGACACCUAGCAUCUUUUACAUCAUGCGAAACAUGAAGUUCUAUCAUCCCUGGAGAUUGGAAAAAGCAAACCUUGAAAGCCCACUUAUUAAUUCACCUGGAUAAAGAGUUCUAGAGAUACAUAUGAUAUAUCAAUCAAGUGUGCCUCAAUGUCAAACUAGUUGGGCACGACUUGAGGAUAUAUACGGUAAUGAAUAAAUCUUGAUUUCUGUAAUUACAGAAGAUUGAAAAGAUCACUUAUCAAGGAGAAAGGGAUUCAAAUAAGGAAAACAAAGAAAUCUAAGGCUCACAUCGGAAAGAGUUGUUGCCAAGCAUUUUGAAACAAAUGGUGUCAUCACUACCAAGUCACCAUUAGAUUUCAAUGAAUCAAUCAGACAAUUCCACUGUAGGUCCAGUUCAGUAACAUUGGUUGCAGUGAGAAUGAUCACUUUACCGCACUUAAUCUACAAAAGAGAACAGACAUACUAAAAAAGAUCGAGGUUCAAACCUUAGUAUCAUAAAUUCACUGGUUAAAGAGCAACAAGUAGUAUAUAGUAAGACAUGAAAUAGCUCCAUGUGAUCAAAAGAAGGAAUACAAGAGAAAUAUGAGAUGUUGAACGACAUGAGGUAAAGACAAAGCGGAGUUCACUAUCAGUGAUCUACCUCUUCCGAGUAAUUACCUACACAGAAAAACUCUGAAAAAAACAGAAUAACAUGUUAAUGCUAUGUGAGAACAUUCAACAUGACAUUCACAGAGAAUAGGUUUACUUUGUACACUUCCUAUGAUCAAAGUUAAACGCCACCGACUCUUUCUCCAUUUCUUUCUAUAUAAUGUUGUCUAGUUUGCCAACUUGGAAGGCCAGUGGAAAAGGAUAAAAUUUUAGUUAAGAAUUACUGCAACAACACUCAUUAGAAGUAUCAAGGGUAAAACCUUACACCAACCAAAGAAAAAAAGAAAAUGCAAGGAGAAAUAAUUUGCAGAGUGGAAAUGAAGAAAAAAUCUUCACGAAAGCAGAUUAAUGCUACAGCUCAUUGGAUUCCUAAAAGGACUUCUGCUGAUACCUAAUUCACAGUAGAAGAUUUGAAGGGGUCCAUCGACAGAUACCUAAGAUAUAUACCAACAAAAAUAUACAAGGAUGUGAAAGUUUUUCGUACAAUACUAGCAGAACGCAGAAAAAUAUGGCUACUUGAGAUUAAAUUCCAACAAGGUCUACUCUAAGAAGGCAUCAAGUUAGAGAAUAAAAUAAUCAUAAUAACCAGCCAAUCUCAGAAAAUGCCACGCAUACCAUAGGCACAGACAGCUGUUCAUGAUGCAGCAAUUCUGUAAUACCCUCAGGCAACAAUGCCAUCUGUAGUCAGAAAAGAAACAAGAAUUUAAUUCUUAUUGCAAAGAGGCAUUAAUUGUUGGAAAUUGGAAUGUCAAAAAUCAUAAAUUUAAUGACAUUUGAAAUAUUUAUAGAACACAUUAGUUUAGUUUGUAAUUCACUGCACUAUCUUCUAUCUUUCAGAAUCAGAUGAUCUUGUAUAUCAGCUACACUAGUGCACGAUUCUGAAUUAGAGAAAUACCAAAAAGAAUUUUUCAACAAGUGCUCCGGGAUGCUUUGUGCACUGGGCUGCCCACCAGCUUUAGGAAGAGAAAAAAAUAACUUCUCUUGCUUCAGCUGGUAUUAGACAUUAAAGCAUAAGUUUAGGUUACUAUGUAACGUUAUGUAUUUAGACCAUACUAAAGCGGCUCAGCAUUUCAGUCAUCAGUAAUUCCAGAUGCAGAAAAGCAAUUUCUGAAGUUCCAAGAACAAGUCAAAAUUCUGGUUUUGUGAACCCAAGGAGCUCUAAUAUUUACUUUUCAAUAACAUCAAACUCAACAUGCUAAAUUUUUAUCAGCGGGUAACAACACAUGAUUGGAUUUCCUUGAGCAGCACUAUAUGCUCUUUCUUUAAAGUACUAUAGGUACUAAAUAAAAUAUGUUAUUCUUAUUUACCCUUUCCAUAUAUACGUGCAAUAAAAACCUGAGAACCUGUGGAAUUUUGUAAUGAGUUCUGACUAAACCUCAUUCUUGUCGCCGGUGCAUUUUUCACCAAUCAGGUGCCUCAAAUGUUUUUCAAACUCUACAUCAGGAGCCUGCAAAAUGAAGUUAUGAUAACACAGAGACACUGGUACAUUUUACAAAGUGGCAUAUCAAAAUAGCACUUCUAAAAGAAUUUUCAAUCAGAGGCAUGGACUUUGAACAUACUGUUGGAUCAUUUAGAUAAGUAAGAUGCUUAUACAGUGGACCACGGAACUAACUCAACCCCAAAAGUUAGCUCAUGUGGUAAGGAUUGGCCAGAUCAUUUUGAGUAGACAACAAAUAUAUUCCUCCAAUCAAUGUGGAACAUUCUAAGACAGGGAUGCCCAAAGCUAAAGGAGCAUGAACAAUACAAAUGGACCUCAACAUUGGGUAAACCAAAAACUGAGGUACGUCAAGCCCUGUACCAUGUUAAGAAUAUGGAGCUUGGGACUAGUUCACCCCAAAGUUAGUUCAUGGAGUGAGUGUAUUUCAAUACAACACAAGGAGACAACAAUUCAUUCCUUCAAUCAUUGUGGGAGAUUCUAACAUAUUAGACGCAAUUACAAACUUUAAAAGCAGUUUUUGUGAAUCUUUAGGUUUCUAAUACACAUUUUUAGAUGUAUUUAUAUCUUUAUAAACCAUAAUUGGAAACAGCAUACUGUCUAGUUACAUUAAACAUAUUUAUGGAGCCAUCUAGCUAACUUUAUCUUGGCAAUUUAAUGAUAUAGUCUGACCAUCUAUCUCAUCAUUGUGUUUUCUUUCCUCAAUUUAACAUUGGUCUCUUCGGAACUUUUAACCUGAUCUUUCAGUGCUGAUAAAUGAAAUAAAGCUAACGAAUUGCAGCUUCAAGUAUGUCGUGUCCCAGAUGCACUCUCCACCAAGUGUGUGACAUAUGUUAUGUCCUCACAUCAGACAAAGACACAGCAAUCAUUAAAGUAUAGCGUAGAGAAAUCUAUUCCUAUUUCCUAUAAUAUCUUAUCAGCGCAAUACAAAUUUGAACUAUGAGGCUUGCUGAAAGGAGGAAUCAUUUGAAGCUAUUAUCACACUAAGUCGUGGAACAUUAAGUAGCACAAAGAUCUAGUAAAUUUCUACUAUAUAGAAGAGUGAGUUGGAGAACGACCAAGGGUAUAAUUGUCAUUUAAAAAAAAGUUCUACUCUUGGCCAUAAAUUUUUAAUGACAAAAAAGUCAAGCUAUUUUUCCUAAAUGUCAAUCACAUCCCAAUUGAUAUAAUAUCUCACGUGAACCCACAUCUUCCCCCAACUCUUUUUAAAAAUUGCUUUUUGUCACUAUUCAUUAAUAAUAUAUAUAUAUAUAUAUAUAUAUAUUCCAUAUAAAAUUAGAAUUAGUAUUAACAAUGAUUCAUAAAAAAUUUAACAAUAAAUACUUAUAAUACACAAUACAUAUUUGUGUUAUUUUAUUUUGAUCUUUUUAAGUUUGAAAUAAACUUUUCACAUGUAAUGUUUAACACCAUAAGAUUAAAAUAUAUUUUGACACAUUCUAUGUGUUAUUAAUUUAAGAGAUAAGAUUGAAAAUUAUUUUUUACUUUCUUAUAUUUCGUGUCAAAUCAAAAUCAAACAAAUAAAUUGAAAAGAGAAAUACUCAAUUUCAAAUAAAAAACUUUCAGACAUUUUUCAAGUAUAGCAUAAAUUAUACACUACAAUGAUAAAUAAACCUUAAUACUAUAACAUUUCUUCAUACUAUCAAUUUAUAUGACACAAACUCAUUUAAUAUCUAUUUUCGGUAUUCGAUUUUCAUGAGUAAUUUUUCAGUUAUUAAUAGAUUAUCUUAGAAUUUACCAUCUUAAAAUCUUAGAUUGUUUCAUUGUGAAAAUUAACAUAUGAGAUAUUCAUAUGAAUAAAAAUAAAUCUAUUGUCUCCCUAAAAAACAUAAAUUAUUGUAUUUAAUUUAUUCAUAUUCUAUAAUUUAAGACUGUAUAUUUUUUAUUGAAAUAAUUAACAUAUGAAUAAUUUUGUCAUUGAUUUACAUAUGAAUAAUUCCGUCAUUGAUUUAAAACUAUAGAUUGUUUCAUUAUGAAAAUUAACAUAUGAACAAUUAUGUCAAAUAUAUCAAACUGUCCUUUAUGUUGUGGUUCUAAAUAUAAUACAUGGAAAGUUGAAAUUAAACUAUUGUCAAAAAAAAAUAUUUUUUAAAAACAAAAAAUAGGUCUUUAUUUUUGAAAUUGAGAGAGUAACAAACAUCCACAAGACAUUCAUACACCCACAGUUCACAUCAUUCAAAAAUAAUUUUAAGUUAAACUUUUUCAUGAUAUCUAACAUAAUUUUUAAAUAUAAUUUGUUAAAUCUUAAAAAAUAAUUUAAAUGGUUAGUUUUGUUCAUACUUUAUAAUGAUAUAUGAGAAUUUAUGUUAUAAUCUUUUUACUAAAUGUAAACUUAAAUAAUAUACUUAAAUCAAAUGAUAGAAUAAUAUUAAAUUUAAGGAGAAAUCAUAUUUAAAGAUUUUUUCAUUUAAACAUUUUUCAAUCAUGGUGUCCAAACGAGCUUUCUCUCCUCUUAACAAAAUCUACGGAAUAAACAAGUUACUUUUGAGUGUAACAUUCAUUAUUAUUAUUUUUAAUUGUUUUUGCCUGAAAUUAUUCAUAGUUAAUUUAUGUUUAAGGUAAAACAUGCAAAUAUAACUAAGGGUGUAAUUUUUUUUUCAUAUUUUUACAAUAUUUUCGUAUAAUUUUUAUGUUGACCCCACUACAAUUCUAUUUUAAAUGAAAAAUAUAGCCGUAAUGGUCAUUUCAUUAGAAUCUUUUCAAUGUCAUUUAUGAUGUAAUUUUUCACAUGAAUUUCACACACCUCAACUAUAAUUCUAUUUUAAUAUAUAAUAAAAAAAUAAAUGCAUUAUGUCAGAAUGACUACUGUAAUACAUCCUAUGUCUCCAUUCCACUAAUAUAUUUUUUUAAUCAGUUCUAAAAAAGAACUGACAUUUUUAUUUGGUUGGUAUUUUAUAACAGUAUCAGUAUUGUAGUCAUGUUGAAUUUUAUUUAUUUAUCAAAAGUGCACGAAGGUAUACUCUUCUAUUUAAGGUUUAUUUAUUUGAAAUAUAAUUUGAAACACUGCAACGUUUUUUCAUAUAUCUUAAAUUCAAUGUCUAAUCAAAAUGUUAUAAAUUGAAAUAAGGGAGACAUAGUUUAUAGGAGUAUGUGCAAAUACUCACAUAUUUUCCAUAAAAGAUCAAAAAAAGUGAAAUUAAUUUUGACCGCAGAUUUAGUUGCAUAAAGUAACUAUUGUUAUAUUAUAGUAAGAUAAUAAAAAAUACUCAUAAAUAUUUAACAAGUGUUUAUCUAUCAAACACAAUAAGCGAUUCCUUCAUAAUUUCAAAACUUCCCAUGAUACAUAUCAUUACAAAGAUUUGCACUACAUAUAAUUUAUGAAAACAUAAUUAUUUACUAAGCACCUAUUACAAUUAUUUUAAACAAUUUAUUUAAAAUGUAAUAUUAACUAGCUCGUGUUAAAUUACUACAAUAUAUAUCAUGUAAACGUUUGUUAAUUCUUUUGAUUCUCUUUAUUUGAGGUAUUAAAUUUUCUCACCAGGUAGACUAAUCACUUAAAAAGAAAUUUCUUACUUACUAUGUUAAAUUGAUUUCCUAUUUUUAAUGCAUAUAAGACAAGACAGAAAGACAAUCCCUUAACAUUAUGAUUCAUUAAAACGUUCAUCCAGUAGGUCCUCAUUUUCAUUUAUUAAACACCCAUAAAACGAAUUUAAAUAUAUUUAAAAUCAAUUUAUGUAUGGAUUAGUAUCGUUUAUUGCUUCGUAUGAUUCUAUAUAAAAUGCUAAUAAAUAGAUAUUUAUAAUUUUAAUCUAUUCUCUUUUAUAAUUUAUGAAUAAAGUAGAAAAAGAAAAACAUUACAAUCAGUUGUUUAUUCUCUUGUGUUUGACCUGAUGUUAAAAAUAAGCAUUACAGAAUAUGAUAU
rnacentral:lncRNA from 1 species